GCGGGGAGGCCGGAUCCUGGGCUGUGUCCCGGCGCCCUGUGCCUCCGGCCUGCGGCCUGCGCUGCUGGAUUCGCUCCCGCCCAGCAGCCCCCU
rnacentral:pre_miRNA from 1 species